rnacentral:rRNA from 1 species
UACAGAGGGGGCAAGCGUUGUUCGGAAUUACUGGGCGUAAAGGGCGCGUAGGCGGCCUGUUAAGUCGAACGUGAAAUCCCCGGGCUCAACCCGGGAACUGCGUCCGAUACUGGCAGGCUUGAAUCCGGGAGAGGGAUGCGGAAUUCCAGGUGUAGCGGUGAAAUGCGUAGAUAUCUGGAGGAAUACCGGUGGCGAAGGCGGCAUCCUGGACCGACAUUGACGCUGAGUGAGCGAAAGCUAGGGGAGCAAACGGGG